UUUUGUUUUUGUUUUUCUAUUAUUUCUUCUUUCUAAUUUCUUUUCUUUUCUUUCUUUUAUUAUUAUUAUUUUUAAUACUUUCUUUUUAUACAUAUCUUCCUUUAAUAGUUAAUAUGAAUUUACAAAUAUACUUUUCUUUUGUUUUCAACUUCUGAAUCCGGAUAGAAAUUCAAUGCGGGUCAACGACGGUAAUUCUCGAUGAUGUGGCAUCAUUAGCGGGUGAUCACUGUAGCUUAAUUACAAUAUUUACUGUAGCAAAAGUCGAGGAUGUCACAGUAUGUAGAUCCAAUCUCUACACGUAAAUGAACAUCACCAUGAUAGGUC
rnacentral:lncRNA from 1 species